rnacentral:tRNA from 1 species
GGGUCCAUAGUUUAAUGGAUAGAAUAUCGGGUUUCGGCCCCGAAGAUCUAGGUUCGAUUCCUAGUGGACUCA